GACACCUUGGCGGAGUGGUCAAACGCGCUGCCCAACUAUCCUUCGAGACUCUACUUUCCAAGUACUGUUCAAGGCAGUUCCUUCGGGAGCGUAGGUUCGAAUCCUACAGGUGUCA